rnacentral:rRNA from 1 species
ACGGCUCAGUAACACGUGGGUAAUCUACCUUUUAGUGUGGAAUAACCCUGGGAAACCGGGGCUAAUACCGCAUAAUCCUGUGAAGGGAAAGCAGCAAUGCGCUGAAAGAGGAGCCCGCGGCCGAUUAGCUAGUUGGUGGGGUAACGGCCCACCAAGGCGAUGAUCGGUAGCCGGCCUGAGAGGGCACACGGCCACACUGGCACUGAAACACGGGCCAGACUCCUACGGGAGGCAGCAGUGGGGAAUCUUGCACAAUGGAGGCAACUCUGAUGCAGCGACGCCGCGUGAGCGAUGAAGCCCCUCGGGGUGUAAAGCUCUUCCGGCAGGGACGAUAAUGACGGUACCUGAAGAAGAAGCUGCGGCUAACUACGUGCCAGUAGCCGCGGUAAUACGUAGGCAGCGAGCGUUGUUCGGAAUUACUGGGCGUAAAGAGUGUGUAGGCGGUGCUCUAAGUUCGGUGUGAAAUCUCCCGGCUUAACUGGGAGGGUGCGCCGGAAACUGGAGUGCUCGAGCGUGGGAGAGGAAAGCGGAAUUCCUGGUGUAGCGGUGAAAUGCGUAGAUAUCAGGAGGAACACCUGCGGUGUAGACGGCUUUCUGGACCAUUGCUGACGCUGAGACACGAAAGCGUGGGUAGCAAACAGGAUUAGAUACCCUGGUAGUCCACGCCCUAAACGAUGCAUACUUGGUGUCGGCCAUUCAGUUGGUCGGUGCCGGAGCUAACGCGUUAAGUAUGCCGCCUGGGGGAGUACGGUCGCAAGGCUGAAACUCAAAGGAAUUGGCGGGGGAGCAC